AACCUCUUCCUGACGUUCGCCAAAAAGGCCUCUGCCUUCAACAGCUGGUUCGAAAACGCCGAAGAGGAUCUGACCGAUCCUGUGCAUUGCAACUCCCUGGAGGAGAUCAGAGCUUUGCGCGAGGCCCAGGACGCCUUCCACUCGUCCCUCAGCUCUGCCCAGGCCGACUUCAGCCAGCUGGCCGAGCUGGACCGCCAGAUCAAGAGCUUCCGGGUGGCCUCCAACCCCUACACCUGGUUCACCAUGGAGGCCCUGGAGGAGACGUGGAGGAACCUGCAGAAGAUCAUCAAGGAGCGGGAGCUGGAGCUGCAGAAGGAGCAGCACUGGCAGGAGGAGAACAGCAAGCUGCACCAGGAGUUCGCCCAGCACGCCAACGCGUUCCACCAAUGGAUCCAGGAGACCAGAACGUAUCUCCUCGAUGGGUCCUGCGUGGUGGAAGAAUCUGGGACCUUGGAAUCCCAGCUCGAAGCUACCAAACGCAAGCACCAGGAGAUUCGAGCCAUAAGAAGUCAGCUCAAGAAGACUGAGGACCUGGGGGCGGCCAUGGAGGAGGCCCUGAUCCUGGACAGCAAGUACACAGAGCACAGCACUGUGGGCCUGGCCCAGCAGUGGGACCAGCUCGACCAGCUGGGCAUGCGCAUGCAGCACAACCUGGAGCAGCAGAUCCAGGCCAGGAACACAACCGGAGUGACUGAGGAGGCCCUCAAAGAAUUCAGCAUGAUGUUUAAACACUUUGACAAGGACAAGUCGGGCCGGCUGAACCACCAGGAGUUCAAGUCCUGCCUGCGCUCUCUGGGUUAUGACCUGCCCAUGGUGGAGGACGGGGAGUGUGACCCCGAGUUCGAGGCAAUCCUAGACACCGUGGAUCCAAACAGGGACGGCCACGUCUCCCUGCAAGAAUACAUGGCCUUCAUGAUCAGCAGUGAAAUGGAGAAUGUCAAAUCCAGCGAGGAGAUCAAGAGCACCUUCCGGGCCCUGAGCUCUGAGGGAAAGCCCUACGUGACCAAGGAGGAGCUGUACCAGAACCUGACUCGGGAAUAAGCUGACUACUGCGUCUCCCACCUGAAGCCCUACGUGGAAGGCAAGGGCCGCGAACUCCCCACCGCCUUUGACUACGUGGAGUUCACCCGCUCGCUCUUCCUGAACUGAUUCCGCCACCCUGCCUUGCCUGGCCCACGCUGCUUGCCCUGCUGUCGCCUUGCUGCAUGUCACCUCCUCUCUGUGCCCACGUAUUCCAGUGUCACUCUCCACUGUAAGCUUAUGUCCGCUUAGCUUGGGGAUAGGACUUAGUAGAAAGGAUGCUUCACUAAGCCACUCCCGGUCCAGUGGCACCCGCCCUGUUGCUGUGGGGACCUGGAUUCCUGUUGUGAAGCCAGCGGCCCCAUUCCGGCUCGAGAAAUCGAAGCAGCUGGCUGCUCCUUUCCUGUUCUCCCCACUUCAUUUUGUUUUCAUGUAAAAGACAAAUAAAUGACACUCCCCCCCCAAAAA